rnacentral:sRNA from 1 species
ACACAGGAAGGGAGGUGGUCCAGUUUUGUGUGAUAAACGGACUCGUGAGGUGACUGUCCGCUAGCCGGUCUCGUGGUCCUCACCCCUGCCGGGUGACCUGCGGGCACCGGCACCGGCGAGAACCAGGCAGGCACCGGACCUCCGGGCGUCGUCGCUGGUCCCGACGGCCCGUCGUCCCUUCUAUGGGCGAUGGAAACGCCCGGAGGUCUCUUUGU